rnacentral:rRNA from 1 species
GACGAACGCUGGCGGCGUGCCUAACACAUGCAAGUGGAGCGACGAACCAGGGCUUGCCCUGGGGCCAAGCCGCGAACGGGUGAGUAACACGUGGGUAACCUGCCCCGAUGACCGGGACAACUCGAGGAAACUCGGGCUAAUACCGGCUGUACUACUCGCACAUAAGUGCAAGGCGUAAAGGAUGCUUCGGCCUCCGCUGCGGCGGGGGCCCGCGGGCCAUAAGCUAGUAGGCGAGGUAACGGCUCACCAAGGCAACGAUGGGUAGCUGGUCUGAGAGGACGAUCAGCCACACUGGGACUGAGACACGGCCCAGACUCCUACGGGAGGCAGCAGUGGGGAAUCUUGCGCAAUGCGCGAAAGCGUGACGCAGCAACGCCGCGUGGGGGAAGAAGGCCUUCGGGUUGUAAACCCCUUUCAGGAGGGACGAAGGUAGGGCAGUGAACAGCUGUCACUACUGACGGUACCUCCAGAAGAAGCCCCGGCUAACUACGUGCCAGCCGCCGCAGUAA